rnacentral:snRNA from 1 species
AUACCUUUCUCGGCCUUUUGGCUAAGAUCAAGUGUAGUAUCUGUUCUUAUCAGUUUAAUAUCUGAUAUAUGAGGCAUAGCCUCAUGUGAUAUUAAAUUUAUUUUUCGUGGGGAAGAGUCCAUAAUAGUGGCUUGCUACUAGGGCUCUUUUGUGUUGCCUUUGGUUUUGCACUACCGCCAAGGCUAGGCACACCCCAA